CCUACGGGUGGCAGCAGUGGGGAAUAUUGCACAAUGGGGGAAACCCUGAUGCAGCGACGCCGCGUGAGUGAAGAAGUAUUUCGGUACGUAAAGCUCUAUCAGCAGGGAAGAAAAUGACGGUACCUGACUAAGAAGCCCCGGCUAACUACGUGCCAGCAGCCGCGGUAAUACGUAGGGGGCCAGCGUUAUCCGGAUUUACUGGGUGUAAAGGGAGCGUAGACGGCAGCGCAAGUCUGGAGUGAAAUCCCAUGGCUUAACCAUGGAACUGCUUUGGAAACUGUGCAGCUAGAGUGCAGGAGAGGUAAGCGGAAUUCCUAGGGUAGCGGUGAAAUGCGUAGAUAUUAGGAGGAACACCAGUGGCGAAGGCGGCUUACUGGACUGUAACUGACGUUGAGGCUCGAAAGCGUGGGGAGCAAACAGGAUUAGAUACCCCUGUAGUC
rnacentral:rRNA from 1 species